rnacentral:rRNA from 1 species
GACGAACGCUGGCGGCGUGCUUAACACAUGCAAGUCGAACGGAAAGGCCCUGCUUUUGUGGGGUUCUCGAGUGGCGAACGGGUGAGUAACACGUGAGUAACCUGCCCUUGACUUUGGGAUAACUUCAGGAAACUGGGGCUAAUACCGGAUAGGAGCUCCUGCUGCAUGGUGGGGGUUGGAAAGUUUCGGCGGUUGGGGAUGGACUCGCGGCUUAUCAGCUUGUUGGUGGGGUAGUGGCUUACCAAGGCUUUGACGGGUAGCCGGCCUGAGAGGUGGACCGGCCACAAGAGGACUAAGAGACGGACCAGUCUGCUACGGGAGGCAGUAGUGGGGAAUAUGGCACAAUGGGCGGAAGUGUGAUGCGGCAACGCCGCGUGCGGGAUGACGUCCUACGGGUUGUAAACCGCUUUCGCCUGUGACGAAGCGUGAGUGACGGUACUGGGUAAAGAAGCACCGGCUAACUACGUG